CCUACGGGCGGCAGCAGUGGGGGAUAUUGCACAAUGGGGGGAACCCUGAUGCAGCGACGCCGCGUGGGUGAAGAAGCGCCUCGGCGCGUAAAGCCCUGUCAGCAGGGAAGAAAAUGACGGUACCUGAAGAAGAAGCCCCGGCUAAAUACGUGCCAGCAGCCGCGGUAAUACGUAGGGGGCAAGCGUUCUCCGGAUUUACUGGGUGUAAAGGGGGCGCAGACGGCGAUGCAAGCCAGGAGUGAAAGCCCGGGGCCCAACCCCGGGACUGCUGUUGGAACUGCGUGGCUGGAGGGCAGGAGGGGCAGGCGGAAUGCCUGGUGUAGCGGUGAAAUGCGGAGAGAUCAGGAGGAACACCGGUGGCGAAGGCGGCAUGCUGGACUGCAACUGACGUGGAGGCCCGAAAGCGUGGGGAGCAAACAGGAUUAGAUACCCUUGUAGUC
rnacentral:rRNA from 1 species